rnacentral:rRNA from 1 species
AAAUUGAAGAGUUUGAUCAUGGCUCAGAUUGAACGCUGGCGGCAGGCCUAACACAUGCAAGUCGAGCGGAAACGAGUUAUCUGAACCUUCGGGGGACGAUAACGGCGUCGAGCGGCGGACGGGUGAGUAAUGCCUAGGAAAUUGCCCUGAUGUGGGGGAUAACCAUUGGAAACGAUGGCUAAUACCGCAUGAUGCCUACGGGCCAAAGAGGGGGACCUUCGGGCCUCUCGCGUCAGGAUAUGCCUAGGUGGGAUUAGCUAGUUGGUGAGGUAAGGGCUCACCAAGGCGACGAUCCCUAGCUGGUCUGAGAGGAUGAUCAGCCACACUGGAACUGAGACACGGUCCAGACUCCUACGGGAGGCAGCAGUGGGGAAUAUUGCACAAUGGGCGCAAGCCUGAUGCAGCCAUGCCGCGUGUGUGAAGAAGGCCUUCGGGUUGUAAAGCACUUUCAGUCGUGAGGAAGG